rnacentral:rRNA from 1 species
ACGGAAGGCAGCAGUAAGGGAUAUUGGGCAAUGGGGGGAACCCUGACCCAGCCAUGCCGCGUGAGGGAAUGAGGCCCUACGGGUCGUGAACCUCUUUUGCCUGGGGAUAACCCCUCCCGCGCGACGGGGGGCUGCAGGUACCAGGCGAAUAAGCAUCGGCUAACUCCGUGCCAGCAGCCGCGGUAAUACGGAGGAUGCGAGCGUUAUCCGGAUUCAUUGGGUUUAAAGGGUGCGCAGGCGGCCGGCCAAGUCAGCGGUGAAAUCCGGGGGCCCAACCCCCGAAGUGCCGUUGAUACUGGUUGGCUGGAAUGCGGUCGAGGCGGGCGGAAUGUGGCGUGUAGCGGUGAAAUGCAUAGAUAUGCCACAGAACUCCGAUAGCGAAGGCAGCUCGCCAGGCCUGCAUUGACGCUCGGGCACGAAAGCGUGGGGAUCGAACAGGAUUAGAUACCCUGGUA